CUAGCUAGCUAGCGAGGCGCACAGCACUGUAUCCACCGAGCCUAGUCGCAGCUGCUGCGCGUCGCAUCCUUUCCAUCGUGUCCUCGUCGUCUUCCUCUCUCCGUCCCAAGCCAGGAGCCCUCGCGCCACGCCACACUUUACCCUCUCUCCCGCCGCUUUACUCCAGAUCUCGAGGUCUCCCGGGCGUCCCACCAGACGGAUCCACUUGCCGCCUUCCCGCCCGGCCUCGCUGUCCAGAGAGGGUUCAUUUUAUUCCACUUCACGUGUCUGUGGACAAUGGAAUGAUUGCUGUCCUGUGUCUGUGAGUUGCCAUGGGAAGCAGUGGAGCAGAUGCACAGCCUAAAGCAAGCAAGGCAUCUACACCUCAGGAGCAGCAGCCACCUGCUACUUCAAGUGCUGCAACACCAGUUGUUUACCCAGAUUGGACCAACUUUCAGGGAUAUCCUCCAAUUCCACCGCGUGGUUUUUUCCCCUCUCCUGUGGUGUCAAGCCCACAGGGUCAUCCUUACAUGUGGGGACCUCAGCCUAUGAUGCCACCAUAUGGGACUCCGCCAUAUGUCAUCUACCCUCCUGGAGGAAUAUAUGCUCACCCAUCAAUGCCCCCGGGUACACACCCAUUUGGUCCCUAUGCUAUGGCUUCUCCAAAUGGCAAUCCUGAUGCUACUGGAACUGCCACCACCACAGCUACUGCUGGUGGUCAAACAGAUGGCAAAUCAUCUGAAGGAAAAGAAAAGAGUCCCAUUAAAAGAUCCAAAGGAAGUUUAGGUAGCUUGAACAUGAUUACAGGAAAGAAGUGUGUCGAACAUGGUAAGACCUCAGGCGCAUCAACCAAUGGAGCCACCUCUCAAAGUGGGGAAAGUGGAAGUGAAAGUGAAAGUGAAGGAAGUGAAGCGAAUUCUCAGCAUGAUUCACAGCAUAAGGAAAGUGGACAAGAACAAGAUGGAGAGAUUAGAAGUUUCCAGAAUGGUGUGUCAAGAUCACCAUCCCAGGCGCAAUUGAAGCAAACUCUAGCAAUCAUGCCAAUGCCAUCAAGCGGUCUAGUGCCUGGUCCAACUACAAACUUGAAUAUUGGAAUGGAAUACUGGGCUAAUACAGCAAGCUCCUCUCCAGCAAUGCAUGGUAAAGUGACACCAACUGCAGCUCCAGGGGCCGUGGUCCCACCAGAGCCGUGGAUGCAGGCGGUUUUCUACAAAAAUCUGCCAUUUUGGACGAACGUGAACUCAAAAGGCAGAAAAGAAAGCAGUCAAACAGGGACAGUGCUCGCAGAUCUAGGCUGCGCAAGCAGGCUGAAUGUGAGGAGUUGGCUCAACGUGCUGAUGUUUUAAAACAGGAAAAUGCUUCUCUUAGAGAUGAGGUGAACCGGAUCAGAAAGGAGUAUGAUUUACUUAUAUCAAAGAAUAGCUCACUAAAGGAUAAACUUGGAGACAAACAAUACAAAACUGAUGAGGCAGGACUUGACAAUGAGCCACAACAUUCUGGUGGUGACAGCUAGAAGGAAACUAAUUGAGCUAUCAUGCAAUGCUACCAGAGCAUAGCCCUAACUAGAUUAUUGGCUGGCGCAAUUGUAGUAUGCUUAUUGACUCCAUACUUUAUUGCAGUUAAUUUUUACCAGUUCCUGGUAAUGUUAGUGCCAACCUUGUGUGGCUGGCUCCUGUUUCAGAUAUGUCUUGACUUAUCUUUUAGAAGUCAAGAUAUGACUGGAAAUGUAGUUUGUGACCCAGUUCACUGUAUCUGUUAGAAAUAGUUGAUAAACUCAAGUUUACAAAUCUGUAUUGCUGACCGUUAUUGUUAUGUAACCUUAAGAAAGAACUGUAUCUUUUAAUAGUCAGGCUGCCAUUUGGCUAGGCUUGACUGGUGCCUUGGUUUGUAUGGUUCAAAUUUUGUACACACUGGAUAUUAUAUAAUGAACACAUGGAGGACCUUUUGCUUGCUGCA